rnacentral:rRNA from 1 species
CAUCUUGACGGUACCUAAUCAGAAAGCCACGGCUAACUACGUGCCAGCAGCCGCGGUAAUACGUAGGUGGCAAGCGUUAUCCGGAAUUAUUGGGCGUAAAGCGCGCGUAGGCGGUUUUUUAAGUCUGAUGUGAAAGCCCACGGCUCAACCGUGGAGGGUCAUUGGAAACUGGAAAACUUGAGUGCAGAAGAGGAAAGUGGAAUUCCAUGUGUAG